rnacentral:rRNA from 1 species
AUUGAACGCUGGCGGCAGGCCUAACACAUGCAAGUCGAACGGUAGCACAGAGAGCUUGCUCUCGGGUGACGAGUGGCGGACGGGUGAGUAACGUCUGGGAAACUGCCCGAUGGAGGGGGAUAACUACUGGAAACGGUAGCUAAUACCGCAUAACGUCGCAAGACCAAAGUGGGGGACCUUCGGGCCUCACACUAUCGGAUGUGCCCAGAUGGGAUUAGCUAGUAGGUGGGGUAAUGGCUCACCUAGGCGACGAUCCCUAGCUGGUCUGAGAGGAUGACCAGCCACACUGGAACUGAGACACGGUCCAGACUCCUACGGGAGGCAGCAGUGGGGAGUAUUGCACAAUGGGCGCAAGCCUGAUGCAGCCAUGCCGCGUGUAUGAAGAAGGCCUUCGGGUUGUAAAGUACUUUCAGCGGGGAGGAAGGCGGUGAAGUUAAUAGCUUCACCGAUUGACGUUACCCGCAGAAGAAGCACCGGCUAACUACGUGCCAGCCGCCGCAGUAA